rnacentral:rRNA from 1 species
GAUGAACGCUGGCGGCGUGCCUAAUACAUGCAAGUCGAGCGAACGGACGAGAAGCUUGCUUCUCUGAUGUUAGCGGCGGACGGGUGAGUAACAAGUGGAUAACCUACCUAUAAGACUGGGAUAACUUCGGGAAACCGGAGCUAAUACCGGAUAAUAUUUUGAACGGCAUGGUUCAAAAGUGAAAGACGGUCUUGCUGUCACUUAUAGAUGGAUCCGCGCUGCAUUAGCUAGUUGGUAAGGUAACGGCUUACCAAGGCAACGAUGCAUAGCCGACCUGAGAGGGUGAUCAGCCACACUGGAACUGAGACACGGUCCAGACUCCUACGGGAGGCAGCAGUAGGGAAUCUUCCGCAAUGGGCGAAAGCCUGACGGAGCAACGCCGCGUGAGUGAUGAAGGUCUUCGGAUCGUAAAACUCUGUUAUUAGGGAAGAACAUAUGUGUAAGUAACUGUGCACAUCUUGACGGUACCUAAUCAGAAAGCCACGGCUAACUACGUG